rnacentral:rRNA from 1 species
AGAGUUUUAUCUGGCUCAGAACGAACGCUGGUAGCGUGGAUUAGGCAUGCAAGUCGAACGGGAUCCGGGGGAUAGCAAUAUUUCCCGGUGAGAGUGGCGGAUUGGGGAGGAACACGUGAGCAACCUGCCCUUGAGACGGGGAAAACCGCUGGAAACGGCGGCUAAUACCGGAUGGGGCGCCCCGCGGAUUCGCGGGAGCGCCAAAGGGGGCCGCAAGGCUCCCGCUCGGGGAUGGGCUCGCGCACCAUCAGCUUGUUGGCGGGGUAACGGCCCACCAAGGCCUACGGUUAGCUGGUCUGAGAGGAUGACCAGCCCCACUGGGACUGAGAUACUGCCCAGACUCCUACGGGAGGCUGCAGUCGAGGAUCAUUUGCAAUGGGCGAAAGCCUGACAAUGCGACGCUGCGUGGAGGAUGAAGGCCUUCGGGUCGUAAACUCCUGUCAUGGGGGAACAGGCGAGGGGACCCAACACGUCCCUUAGUUGAGUGUACCCCAAGAGGAAGCGACGGCUAACUCUGUGCCAGCAGCCGCGGUAAUACAGAGGUCGCAAGCGUUGUUCGGAUUUACUGGGCGUAAAGGGCGCGUAGGCGGCGUGGCGUGUCAAGUGUGAAAUCUCCGGGCCCAACCCGGAAAGUGCGCUUGAAACUACCAUGCUGGAGGCCGGGAGAGGGAAUCGGAAUGCAGGGUGUAGCGGUGAAAUGCGUUGAUAUCCUGCAGAACACCGGAGGCGAAGGCGGAUUCCUGGAACGGUCCUGACACUAAGGCACGAAAGCGUGGGGAGCAAACGGGAUUAGAUACCCCGGUAGUCCACGCUGUAAACGAUGGAUACUAGCAGUUUCGGGUAUCGACCCCUGGAGUUGCGAAGCUAACGCGUUAAGUAUCCCACCUGUGUAGUACGAUCGCAAGAUUAAAACAUAAAGGAAUUGACGGGGACCCGCACAAGCGGUGGAGCGUGAUCUUUAAUUCGAUGGUAAACGAUAAACCUUACCAAGGCUUGACAUCUCGGGAAGGCUUCCGAAAGGAAACUGUGCCCUCGGGAACCCGAAGACAGGUGAUGCAUGGCCGUCGUCAGCUCGUGUCGUGAGAUGUUUGGUUAAGUCCAUCAACGAGCGCAACCC